GUGGUAGAGAACUUGCCUAGCAUGUAUCCUAAAAUUGGAAUGAAACAGAGAAGAUUAGCAUGGCCCCUGCACGAUGAUGACACGCAAAAUUGUGCAGCAUUCCAUAUCUGC
ensembl:snRNA U6 U6 spliceosomal RNA